GCUAUACAUGCAGUCGAGCGGAUCUCUUCGGAGAUCAGCGGCGGACGGGUGAGUAACACGUGGGCAACCUGCCUGUAAGACUGGGAUAACUCCGGGAAACCGGAGCUAAUACCGGAUACUAUGUCAAACCGCAUGGUUUGACAUUCAAAGACGGUUUCGGCUGUCACUUACAGAUGGGCCCGCGGCGCAUUAGCUAGUUGGUGAGGUAAUGGCUCACCAAGGCGACGAUGCGUAGCCGACCUGAGAGGGUGAUCGGCCACACUGGGACUGAGACACGGCCCAGACUCCUACGGGAGGCAGCAGUAGGGAAUCUUCCGCAAUGGACGAAAGUCUGACGGAGCAACGCCGCGUGAGUGAUGAAGGUUUUCGGAUCGUAAAACUCUGUUGUCAGGGAAGAACAAGUGCCGGAGUAACUGCCGGCGCCUUGACGGUACCUGACCAGAAAGCCACGGCUAACUACGUGCCAGCAGCCGCGGUAAUACGUAGGUGGCAAGCGUUGUCCGGAAUUAUUGGGCGUAAAGCGCGCGCAGGCGGUUUCUUAAGUCUGAUGUGAAAGCCCCCGGCUCAACCGGGGAGGGUCAUUGGAAACUGGGAAACUUGAGUGCAGAAGAGGAGAGUGGAAUUCCACGUGUAGCGGUGAAAUGCGUAGAGAUGUGGAGGAACACCAGUGGCGAAGGCGACUCUCUGGUCUGUAACUGACGCUGAGGCGCGAAAGCGU
rnacentral:rRNA from 2 species